GACGAACGCUGGCGGCGUGCCUAAUACAUGCAAGUAGAACGCUGAAGGAGGAGCUUGCUUCUCUGGAUGAGUUGCGAACGGGUGAGUAACGCGUAGGUAACCUGCCUGGUAGCGGGGGAUAACUAUUGGAAACGAUAGCUAAUACCGCAUAAGAGUAGAUGUCGCAUGAUAUUUGCUUAAAAGGUUCAAUUGCAUCACUACUAGAUGGUCCUCAGUUGUAUUAGCUAGUUGGUGAGGUAACGGCUCACCAAGGAAACGAUACAUAGCCGACCGGAGAGGGGGGUCGGCCACACUGGGACGGAGACACGGCCCAGACUCCUACGGGAGGCAGCCGGAGGGAAUCUUCGGCAAUGGACGGAAGUCUGAACGAGCAACGCCGCGUGAGUGAAGAAGGGUUUCGGAUCGUAAAGCUCUGUUGUAAGAGAAGAACGAGUGUGAGAGUGGAAAGUUCACACUGUGACGGUAGCUUAACAGAAAGGGACGGCUAACUACGUG
rnacentral:rRNA from 1 species